AAAAUAUAGAGCCAAUUAUGAGACUCAUGGUUGGAGUUGCUCUAAACCUUGUGAUUAAAUCUUGUAAUUUAGAAUAUACUCAGUUUGGAACAGGGAAAAGUACAUGCAUGCAUGCAUAUAUAUAUAUAUAGCUAGAAUUAUUGAGACGACACGUCUCAUCUCCUGCGCGGGCGGUACUGCAUGUGGUGGCACAAGACGACGGGCCCUGGCGGUGUAUAGCUAGCUAGAAUUAUAGGAGGUCAUCCUCCUUGUGCGUCUCGAUGACGACGUCGGAGGUGGGGUACGCAGCGCAGGUGAGCACCCAACCGUCGGCGACCUGGUUGUCGUUGAGGAAGCUCUGGUCGGACUGGUCGACGGAGCCAGAGACGACCUUGCCGGCGCAGGAGGAGCAGGACCCCGCACGGCAGGAGAAGGGCAGGUCGAUGCCUUCCUCCUCGGCGAAGUCCAGGAUGUAGACGUCGUCGGGCACCUGCAGCUCCACCUCCCCCUCCGGC
rnacentral:lncRNA from 1 species